UACGGAAGGUGCAAGCGUUGUUCGGAUUGACUGGGCGUAAAGAGCACGUAGGCGGGUUUGUAAGUCGAAUGUGAAAUCCCUGGGCUUAACCCGGGAACUGCAUUCGAAACUACUUACCUUGAAUACUUGAGGGGUUGGGGGAAUUCCUGGUGUAGGAGUGAAAUCCGUAGAUAUCAGGAGGAAUACCAGAGGCGAAGGCGCCCAACUGGCAAAGUAUUGACGCUGAGGUGCGAAAGCGUGGGGAGCAAACAGG
rnacentral:rRNA from 1 species